rnacentral:rRNA from 1 species
CCUACGGGAGGCAGCAGUGAGGAAUAUUGGUCAAUGGGCGCGAGCCUGAACCAGCCAAGUCGCGUGAGGGAGGACGGCCCUACGGGUUGUAAACCUCUUUUGCCGGGGAGCAACGGGCGUCACGUGUGGCGCCACUGAGAGUACCCGGAGAAAAAGCAUCGGCUAACUCCGUGCCAGCAGCCGCGGUAAUAGGGAGGAUGCGAGCGUUAUCCGGAUUUAUUGGGUUUAAAGGGUGCGUAGGCGGAUCGUUAAGUCAGUGGUCAAAUUGAGGGGCUCAACCCCUUCCCGCCAUUGAAACUGACGCGCUUGAGUGGAAGAGAAGUAUGCGGAAUGCGUGGUGUAGCGGUGAAAUGCAUAGAUAUCACGCAGAACCCCGAUUGCGAAGGCAGCAUGCCGGCUUCCGACUGACGCUGAAGCACGAAAGCGUGGGGAUCGAACAGGAUUGGAUACCCCGGUAGUC